UGAGGAAGCCCACAUUCUUCUUACUGCAUGCUUCCUGGUGCUUACAGUGGGCAAGGCUCUGUCAACCACAAGCCAUCUUCUGUAGGAAAAAAAGGAGAGGGGACUUGUAGGUUAAUAUAACUGAGGCGUCUGAGUAGGUGGCUUCAGGUAUGGCUCUAUCCAGGGCCUCUCUAUCUCAUCUUAUCACAGCUUCAUGGAGCCGUAGCUUCCAUGGAGAGAGAAGUGGAGUGAUGGGCCAGAGGCCAUUGGCACGCGUGGCUUUCUGAUUGGGGCACCACCUAAACCAAGAUUUGCCUUCUAAAGUCGAAGACUUGCUUUCUUUCCCACUCUCCCAGAGGAAACUAAGAAAAAAGUGAAAUGUAAGCACUGCUGCCGAAGCUGCCUUUGCCCCACGACCACCGUCUCGUCCCAGCUCAUACCUCACGGGGUCAGAUAGCUUCAGUCUUCCAGCGAGAGAAAUCCUGGUGCCCCAGGCACCUGGGGAGAAGCUCACAGUUACUGUGGCUAUUGUCGCUGUUGGUUUGAACUUUCUAAUAAAACUGUAUCUGUGGCCAGG
ensembl:lncRNA novel transcript